rnacentral:rRNA from 1 species
UACAGAGGGUGCAAACGUUGCUCGGAAUCAUUGGGCGUAAAGCGCACGUAGGCGGCCCAGCAAGUGGGGAGUGAAAUCCCACGGCUCAACCGUGGAAGUGCACUCGAAACUGGAUGGCUAGAGUCCUGGAGAGGAAGGUGGAAUGCUUGGUGUAGAGGUGAAAUUCGUAGAUAUCAAGCGGAACACCGGUGGCGAAGGCGGCCUUCUGGACAGUGACUGACGCUGAGGAGCGAAAGCCAGGGGAGCAAACGGG